AGAGAAGGUGGCAUACACUUCAGGUUGUCAGUUGCCCUUAAUGGAACGCCAAACGGAAGGCGACCGACAUUUACCGCCUGAAAUUCGACGAUGUUUUAAACAGGCUGUUGGCCAGAUAACUCAAAUGAACUCUUAUACUUUAUGUACAGGGCUCAUUCUGGCCGUUUAAAUGGCAGAACCUCGAUGGAGAACCGGAGUUUGUGGGCAACCAUAUGUUUCCCUAUCUCUUCGCUCUAUUAGAGGCGUAGCGCAUUCCAGGACAAGACAUCGGGAAAGGGCAAGCUAACAGCGCAUGCGCACUCCUUAAAGCCUCUAGGGAAAGCGGCAGGCAGCGAUUCCAUCACUACUUCCGGAUUCCAAUGGGACGCUGUAUAUACUGCAUGUGGAGUGGAGACGUUUAAUUGAAUAGCUCCUGUUUAAUAGCUCCUAAUAUUCUCCUCCCCGCCCUGCUGGUUGGGGAUGAUGGGGGUUGUGGUCCCACAUCCUUCCAAGUCUACAGGUUGGGAGAGGAGUGGUGCAAUCCUAGGGAUGAGAACUUAAUCUGCAUUAUUAUUGCCAGGGAAUGCCUAUAGCUGGCAUCCCAACUUGCAAAAAAUACAUCUUUUUUUAAUUAAAUAAUAAUAAUACCCCCCCCCAGGGUUGCACGCCUCGCUUCCUCCCGACCAAGCCGCAAAUAAAACAGACUCUGCAAAAGUCAUCAGCCGGCUUUGCAUUUAGGGGGUUAACUGGAGGGGGUUCAGCCCAACGUCGUCCCAGCCGGCUCCUUCGCCCACUUUUGUGUUUUGUUUUGCUAGCAAGGCACAUUUGCAGAGUCGAGUGGGGCAUAUAUCUGAAGCUGCAGCAUAAUAUUGCAAAAGGGGAAAAAAACUUUUUCAUUUAAUGACCUCUGCAAAGCCGGUUUUGAGCCAACCACGAUGAUUGCAAACCAUGGUUAGAAGAAGGCUGGGUUGAAAAGCGGAGGAGGGGGGAGGAAGAGAGGGAGGGAAGUCAAAGGUUCUCACGCUUUAUUUACGCGCUGCCUCCUUCCCCGCCUCCUUUGGACGCGUGCUGGGCUGCUUCCUCCUCCUCCUCCUCCUUGCUGGACUCUUCCCCCUUCCUAAGUCGUCGGAAAGAAGCGCUGCGGAGGCCCGAAAACGGGAAAAAGCCCUAGGCGUUUGCAUUGCAUUGCAUUGCAUUCCUUAUUUUAUUUUAUUUUUUUGCAAACGACCCGGGGCUUUGGCAGACACGCGUUGGCCGAGAACAUGGGAACCCCGGCAGAUUCCCAAGACGGGCUCCCACUUUGAUCAAAACCGAUUGCAAAGAGGGAGGGAGGGGACCCCCGUGCAGCAGACCCGAUUAGGGUGGCCGGUGGGCUGCUUCUCCCAUGGCUGGGUGUCUCGAAGAGGACGACGUCCCCCUGAUCCUGACCUUAGAGGACGGCAGGAGCCGGAGGGUCGAUCCGGAGGGAGUCCCCAACGAAAAGCUCCCCUUCACAAAAAUGGGGGGUUUCUGAGAAUUCAGCACAGCCGAUCUCAUGAGGUCUAGGAACUUGACAAGUUUCCAGGGACACAAACUUCUCAAACGCCUCCAUCACAAUUUUAACCUUAAGAGGGUCUCGCCUUCCUAGGGAAGAGGAGGUCUUACGAGCAGAGAGGCCAAAAAUGGAGUUGCCUAGAGCGUACAAUCUUU
ensembl:lncRNA